rnacentral:rRNA from 1 species
GACGAACGCUGGCGGCGUGCUUAACACAUGCAAGUCGAACGGAAAGGCCCUGCUUUUGUGGGGUGCUCGAGUGGCGAACGGGUGAGUAACACGUGAGUAACCUGCCCUUGACUUUGGGAUAACUUCAGGAAACUGGGGCUAAUACCGGAUAGGAGCUCCUGCUGCAUGGUGGGGGUUGGAAAGUUUCGGCGGUUGGGGAUGGACUCGCGGCUUAUCAGCUUGUUGGUGGGGUAGUGGCUUACCAAGGCUUUGACGGGUAGCCGGCCUGAGAGGGUGACCGGCCACAUUGGGACUGAGGUACGGCCCAGACUCCUACGGGAGGCAGCAGUGGGGAGUAUUGCACAGUGGGCGGAAGCCUGAGGCAGCAACGCCGCGUGCGGGAUGACGGCUUUCGGGUUGUAAACCGCUUUCGCCUGUGACGAGGCGUGAGUGACGGUAAUGGGUAAAGAAGCACCGGCUAACUACGUG